rnacentral:rRNA from 1 species
UGUUUUUCGGUAACAAGGCCCCGCUGCCCUUAGUUGCCAUCAUUUCGACCGGGCACUACAAGGGGACUGCCGUUGAUAACCCGGAGUAAGGAGGGGAUGACCUCAAUUCCUCAUGGCCCUUAUGCCCAGGGCUACACAUGUGCUUUAAUGGGGGGUACAAAGGGUUGCGAACCCGCGAGGGGGAGCUAAUCCCAAAAAGCCCUCCUCAGUUCGGAUCGGGGUCUGCAACUCGACCCCGUGAAGCCGGAAUCGCUAGUAAUGGCGGAUCACCAUGCCGCCGUGAAUACGUUCCCGGGCCUUGUACACACCGCCCGUGGG